rnacentral:tRNA from 1 species
AGAAAGAUAAGCUAAGUAAGCUACUGGGUUCAUACCCCAUUUAUAGGGGUUAAACCCCCUUCUCUCUA